GAUGAACGCUGGCGGCGUGCCUAAUACAUGCAAGUCGAGCGAACAGACGAGGAGCUUGCUCCUCUGACGUUAGCGGCGGACGGGUGAGUAACACGUGGAUAACCUACCUAUAAGACUGGGAUAACUUCGGGAAACCGGAGCUAAUACCGGAUAAUAUAUUGAACCGCAUGGUUCAAUAGUGAAAGACGGUUUUGCUGUCACUUAUAGAUGGAUCCGCGCCGCAUUAGCUAGUUGGUAAGGUAACGGGUUACCAAGGCAACGAUGCGUAGCCGACCUGAGAGGGUGAUCGGCCACACUGGAACUGAGACACGGUCCAGACUCCUACGGGAGGAAGCAGUAGGGAAUCUUCCGCAAUGGGCGAAAGCCUGACGGAGCAACGCCGCGUGAGUGAUGAAGGUCUUCGGAUCGUAAAACUCUGUUAUUAGGGAAGAACAAAUGUGUAAGUAACUAUGCACGUCUUGACGGUACCGAAUCAGAAAGCCACGGCUAACUACGUG
rnacentral:rRNA from 1 species